AUCAACAUCAUAUAGACCAUUAUCUUUCAACCAGAGCCUAAGAAAAUGUCGCUUAACAGAUUCUUCAGCAAAGAAAAUAGCUACCGGUACUGCCCUUUCUGCAACUGGCCUUCCUUUUGGACUUGCGGAAAUAAUAAAACGACAUGCUAGACCUUUGUCUUUGGUCAUUUGAUCACCCAAAAAGUCAGCCAGUCGCCUGGCUGUA